AACGAACGCUGGCGGCGUGCUUAACACAUGCAAGUGGAGCGACGAACCGGGCUUCGGCCCGGGGCAAAGCCGCGAACGGGUGAGUAACACGUGGGUAACCUGCCCUGAAGACCGGGACAACCCGAGGAAACUCGAGCUAAUACCGGAUGUGUUCACUGUCCAUAAGAACAGUGAGAAAAGGAAGCUUCGGCCUCCGCUUCAGGAUGGGCCCGCGGCCCAUUAGCUUGUUGGUGAGGUAACGGCUCACCAAGGCUGCGAUGGGUAGCUGGUCUGAGAGGACGAUCAGCCACACUGGGACUGAGACACGGCCCAGACUCCUACGGGAGGCAGCAGUGGGGAAUCUUGCGCAAUGCGCGACAGCGUGACGCAGCAACGCCGCGUGGGGGAAGAAGGCCUUCGGGUUGUAAACCUCUUUCAGGAGGGACGAAGCUUCGGCAGCGAAUAGCUGUUCGGAGUGACGGUACCUCCACAAGAAGCCCCGGCUAACUACGUGCCAGCCGCCGCCGUAA
rnacentral:rRNA from 1 species